rnacentral:lncRNA from 1 species
UUGCCUAAGCAAUGAUCUCUACUCCGUAUCACCUUGAAUUGGCCGAAGCAAAGCCGAAUUCGACGACACAUAAUAACCUUCUUGGAUAGCUUUGACCACCUCUGUUUGAACCAAAAUCCUAUCAUGCCCCUUUUCUUAAUAGGAGUAAACCAUCUUAGAUAUCCCAUAAUUCGGCGUAAAAAUUUGAACAAUCACCCAAACAUGGUUAAAACUGAUAAUUCAGUCUCCAAACUGGUCUCACAACGCACCGCCAACAGAGACAGACUUUGCAUUCACA